rnacentral:rRNA from 1 species
GACGAACGCUGGCGGCGUGCCUAAUACACGCAAGUAGAACGCACAGUUUAUACCGUAGCUUGCUACACCACAGACUGUGAGUUGCGAACGGGUGAGUAACGCGUAGGUAACCUGCCUGGUAGCGGGGGAUAACUAUUGGAAACGAUAGCUAAUACCGCAUAAUAUUAAUUAUUGCAUGAUAAUUAAUUGAAAGGUGCAAUUGCACCACUACCAGAUGGACCUGCGUUGUAUUAGCUAGUAGGUGAGGUAACGGCUCACCUAGGCGACGAUACAUAGCCGACCUGAGAGGGUGAUCGGCCACACUGGGACUGAGACACGGCCCAGACUCCUACGGGAGGCAGCAGUAGGGAAUCUUCGGCAAUGGACGAAAGUCUGACCGAGCAACGCCGCGUGAGUGAAGAAGGUUUUCGGAUCGUAAAGCUCUGUUGUAAGAGAAGAACGGGUGUGAGAGUGGAAAGUUCACACUGUGACGGUAUCCUACCAGAAAGGGACGGCUAACUACGUG